AUGACAUGUGCUGUGGUUGAAAGUCGAUGUCAGUCGCAGACCAAGCGAUCCACGUAAGGCAUCCAAAGCGAUGCUGAUCAUAGUGCGGCCUAGAAGUAAGACCUGCCGCGUAAAAAACGCGAGAGGGCUAGUAGUGGGGGACAAGACGUCUAUGAGCGAACGUCCCAGCAGGCGAGUGUGGGGGUAAAGACCAGGUCAGGCAUGUCGG
rfam:Megasphaera elsdenii strain DSM 20460 draft genome